ACGAUGGAUGGAAACUCAUCCGCACUCCAAUCGAGUAAUUAUUUUCACAUGUUAAUCAAUGGGGGGGGAUAGAUAGAUUUGCAGGAGUUCUUUAAUGGGCAAAAGUAAGGCCAGUUCUACUUUUCACAGAUCAUCCUUGGUCACCACCGCCACCAUUGUUGCUCAGAACGAGGCCGCCACAUAUUUCCAAGGUGUCAUUUCAGGAACGGGAAUUCACAGCGAGCUCACCUAUCUCCACACACCCCGUGUCAGAUCUCACAUGCUCACGGUCAAGAAGUAGCAUACUAGAGCUACUGCAGCACAAAACAGGGGUGAAGAGAACAGGAGCCAAGUCCAUGGAAACCUUGGCAUGCUUGAGCUGGUUCGCAGGUGCCAUGUGAACCGGCACACAAGCAAUAAAUGCUAGUUAUGCUGGUGUAGUGGCCAACCCAGUGGGAUCGAUCUAAUCCUGUAUCAGAAAAAGAAAAAGAAUUGAGAGUGCCUUGGUUCUUGUCAGACCCUCCUCAAUCAAACUUCUCUGCAGAGAUAAAGAUUUCUCUUCAGCACUUGGCUUCGUCAAUUGUUUUGUCUGGUGCAUGCACUUUUGACAUGCUCAACUCUAAUGGGGAAGAGCCAGUUAACACGAUAGCAAUGGGAGGUCGAUGGACCAAAGCCUAUAGAAUACUUGUUUCGAUACAUUACCUUUCGAUGUCAACCAGUUAGGUGGAGAAUAUGAAUCUGAUAUUAUGUCACUCCAUUAUUCUAUGUCGAUGAUGAAUUGAAUGAUAAUUAGGCCCUCAGCAGAGAAUUAAUUAUAUGAGUCAAUAGUAGUAGUACUAUUAAAUUUCUAUCCUAAAAAACAUCUCAUCAUCAGAAGGAAGGCAGUAAUAGGAACCUUUUGCCUGCGUACCAGUGAAUGGUCCAUCACCUGUUUGUCACUUUGUCUAGUGUAAUUUGGCACCUCGGCGGAUGCACGAUGCAGUGUGUUGGCACACAGAAAGGCGGAAGGCAAGGGGGAGGUGACGAGGACCACUAUUUGCCUUCCGUUUCAUGUGAUCCCAAGUUUAUUCCCGCAGGAUUAUACUAUUCCUAUGAAAGAGACUCCCAUCUCCAGCUCCCAUUAUUGUUUCUCCUCCUCCUUCUUCCCCUCCACUAGAGAGUGAGAGAGAGAGAGAGAAUCUCGUCGCCCACCGACCACUCGUGAGGCACAACCUUGCACCGUCCACUGCCCAUCAAAGCCGGUUCCUUUCUUUAUCCCUGCACAAACAAUAUAUAGGAUGGAUGGGAGAAGGAAGGAAGACAAAGUGUGGAUGCCGGCGGAGUCGGCAGUGGAAAGGAGGAACCCAAUUGCAUUAUUAUACGUCCCUCUCUUCCCUGCUUUUCAUUAGUUUAUGUCUGCCCUUUGCAUUCCUCGUUACAAUUCCAUUAGGAUAAGAUAACAA
rnacentral:lncRNA from 1 species